UGCGAGCGGUUCGCCUCCCGUGACGUCGCAAGAAGUCCACUGAACCUUAUCAUUUAGAGGAAGGAGAAGUCGUAACAAGGUUUCCGUAGGUGAACCUGCGGAAGGAUCAUUGUCGAUGCCCGAUCGAAAGACUGUGAACUUGUAAACGGAUGCCGCCAGGGGUGUCGGGCUGGCUCCGCGUCCCUGGAACCCUGCUGCCCCCUUUCGGAGUGACCUUGUGUCGCACGGACGGGGGUGGUACGGGAUAACGAAACCCCGGCGCUGUAUGCGCCAAGGAACAUAUAUGACCGGAUGGACGUGCGCCUUUGCCCUUGUGGUUAGGCAACGACCGCUGAACAUUAUCAUACGACUCUCGGCAACGGAUAUCUCGGCUCUCGCAUCGAUGAAGAACGUAGCGAAAUGCGAUACUUGGUGUGAAUUGCAGAAUCCCGUGAACCAUCGAGUCUUUGAACGCAAGUUGCGCCUGAGGCCUUUCGGCCGAGGGCACGCCUGCCUGGGCGUCACGCAUCGCGUCGCUCUAUGCUCCCGACCCCUGUGGCAGUGGUGUUGAUGCGGAAAUUGGCCCUCCGUGCCUCGUGUGCGGUGGGCUAAAGAGAGGGCUGCCGGCCAGGUGUGGCGCGGCAAGUGGUGGACAUAGUGCCAGCAGGAUGCCGUAGCCUCCCUGGUUUGAAGGGCCCAAGUGACCCCGAUAAGGUGAGACGCAAUCCUGUAGGGGGUUGUGUGUCGCCUCGCAAAGCGACCCCAGGUCAGGCGGGGACACCCGCUGAGUUUAAGCAUAUCAAUAAGCGGAGGAGAAGAAACUACAAGAUCCCCA
rnacentral:sRNA from 1 species